rnacentral:rRNA from 1 species
UACGUAGGGGGCAAGCGUUGUCCGGAUUUAUUGGGCGUAAAGAGCGUGUAGGCGGCCAAGUAAGUCUGCUGUGAAAACUCGAGGCUCAACUUCCAGACGUCGACAGAAACCGCUUGGCUAGAGUCCGGAAGAGGAGAGUGGGAAUUCCUGGUGUAGCGGUGAAAUGCGUAGAUAUCAGGAGGAACACCGGUGGUGUAGACGGCUUUCUGGACCGUAACUGACGCUGAGACACGAAAGCGUGGGUAGCAAACAGG